UGCAAGUCGAACGAGGAGUCAAGUGCUUGCACUUGACUGAAAGUGGCGCACGGGUGCGUAACGCGUAUGCAACCUACCCUUAACAGGGGGAUAGCCCGGGGAAACUCGGAUUAAUACCCCAUAGUAUUAUUGAUAGGCAUCUAUUAAUACUUAAAGAUUUAUCGGUUAAGGAUGGGCAUGCGUCUGAUUAGUUAGUUGGUAGUGUAAUGGACUACCAAGACCAUGAUCAGUAGGGGUUCUGAGAGGAUGAUCCCCCACACUGGCACUGAGAUACGGGCCAGACUCCUACGGGAGGCAGCAGUAGGGAAUAUUGGUCAAUGGGCGAGAGCCUGAACCAGCCAUGCCGCGUG
rnacentral:rRNA from 1 species